rnacentral:rRNA from 1 species
AUACAUAGUAUAUAUUUAUGGUAAAAGUAUUUACUAUAUUUUCUAGUGGUUUAUCCACAUAAAAUUCUAGAUAGAAAAUAGACGAUGACUGAAUUCUAUCUAAUAGUCUUGACUAAAUCACGUGCCAGCUGUCGCGGUAAUACGGGAAAGACAAGUGUUAUUCAUCUUAUUUGGUAUAAAGGGUACCUAGACGGAUUUGUGAACUUAAUCUUUUUUAAACAAAAGAAAUAAAUACUAUAAAAGGUAAUUCAGAACUAACCAUUUUGCUUUACGGAAAAGAUAUUAUAUGUGUUUAUUAGUACAAAAAUCUAGAGUUUUGUAUGAGAGGUAUGUGUUGGAACUAACGGAGUAAAGAUGAAAUUUUUUGAUACUGUUGGGCACUGAUAACGGCGAAAGCAACCCUUUAUCUAGAAACUGACGUUGAGGGACGAAGGCUUGGGUAGCAAACAGGAUUAGAUACCCUAAUAGUCCAGGCAGAAAAUGAUGAGUGCUAUAGAUUAAAUUAAUAUUGGUCUAUAAAUGAAAGUGUAAGCAUUCCACCUCAAGAGUAAUGUGGCAACGCAGGAACUGAAAUCAUUAGACCGUUUCUGAAACCAGUAGUGAAGUAUGUUGUUUAAUUCGAUGGUCCACGAAAAACCUUACCACAACUUGAAUAAUUAGCAGGAUAUUAUUUUUGAAUAUUUAAAUCUGCUAUAAACACAGGUGCUGCACGGCUGUCUUUAGUUAAUGUCGUGAGACGCAGGUUCGCUCCUAUUAAUUAACGUAAACCCUUCUUUUAUUU